rnacentral:rRNA from 1 species
GGGUUGUGAGGUUAAGCGACUAAGCGUACACGGUGGAUGCCCUGGCAGUCAGAGGCGAUGAAGGACGUGCUAAUCUGCGAUAAGCGUCGGUAAGGUGAUAUGAACCGUUAUAACCGGCGAUUUCCGAAUGGGGAAACCCAGUGUGAUUCGUCACACUAUCAUUAACUGAAUCCAUAGGUUAAUGAGGCGAACCGGGGGAACUGAAACAUCUAAGUACCCCGAGGAAAAGAAAUCAACCGAGAUUCCCCCAGUAGCGGCGAGCGAACGGGGAGCAGCCCAGAGCCUGAAUCAGUGUGUGUGUUAGUGGAAGCGUCUGGAAAGGCGCGCGAUACAGGGUGACAGCCCCGUACACAAAAAUGCACAUAUUGUGAGCUCGAUGAGUAGGGCGGGACACGUGGUAUCCUGUCUGAAUAUGGGGGGACCAUCCUCCAAGGCUAAAUACUCCUGACUGACCGAUAGUGAACCAGUACCGUGAGGGAAAGGCGAAAAGAACCCCGGCGAGGGGAGUGAAAAAGAACCUGAAACCGUGUACGUACAAGCAGUGGGAGCACGCUUCGGCGUGUGACUGCGUACCUUUUGUAUAAUGGGUCAGCGACUUAUAUUCUGUAGCAAGGUUAACCGAAUAGGGGAGCCGAAGGGAAACCGAGUCUUAACUGGGCGUUAAGUUGCAGGGUAUAGACCCGAAACCCGGUGAUCUAGCCAUGGGCAGGUUGAAGGUUGGGUAACACUAACUGGAGGACCGAACCGACUAAUGUUGAAAAAUUAGCGGAUGACUUGUGGCUGGGGGUGAAAGGCCAAUCAAACCGGGAGAUAGCUGGUUCUCCCCGAAAGCUAUUUAGGUAGCGCCUCGUGAAUUCAUCUCCGGGGGUAGAGCACUGUUUCGGCAAGGGGGUCAUCCCGACUUACCAACCCGAUGCAAACUGCGAAUACCGGAGAAUGUUAUCACGGGAGACACACGGCGGGUGCUAACGUCCGUCGUGAAGAGGGAAACAACCCAGACCGCCAGCUAAGGUCCCAAAGUCAUGGUUAAGUGGGAAACGAUGUGGGAAGGCCCAGACAGCCAGGAUGUUGGCUUAGAAGCAGCCAUCAUUUAAAGAAAGCGUAAUAGCUCACUGGUCGAGUCGGCCUGCGCGGAAGAUGUAACGGGGCUAAACCAUGCACCGAAGCUGCGGCAGCGACGCUUAUGCGUUGUUGGGUAGGGGAGCGUUCUGUAAGCCUGCGAAGGUGUGCUGUGAGGCAUGCUGGAGGUAUCAGAAGUGCGAAUGCUGACAUAAGUAACGAUAAAGCGGGUGAAAAGCCCGCUCGCCGGAAGACCAAGGGUUCCUGUCCAACGUUAAUCGGGGCAGGGUGAGUCGACCCCUAAGGCGAGGCCGAAAGGCGUAGUCGAUGGGAAACAGGUUAAUAUUCCUGUACUUGGUGUUACUGCGAAGGGGGGACGGAGAAGGCUAUGUUGGCCGGGCGACGGUUGUCCCGGUUUAAGCGUGUAGGCUGGUUUUCCAGGCAAAUCCGGAAAAUCAAGGCUGAGGCGUGAUGACGAGGCACUACGGUGCUGAAGCAACAAAUGCCCUGCUUCCAGGAAAAGCCUCUAAGCAUCAGGUAACAUCAAAUCGUACCCCAAACCGACACAGGUGGUCAGGUAGAGAAUACCAAGGCGCUUGAGAGAACUCGGGUGAAGGAACUAGGCAAAAUGGUGCCGUAACUUCGGGAGAAGGCACGCUGAUAUGUAGGUGAAGUCCCUUGCGGAUGGAGCUGAAAUCAGUCGAAGAUACCAGCUGGCUGCAACUGUUUAUUAAAAACACAGCACUGUGCAAACACGAAAGUGGACGUAUACGGUGUGACGCCUGCCCGGUGCCGGAAGGUUAAUUGAUGGGGUCAGCGCAAGCGAAGCUCUUGAUCGAAGCCCCGGUAAACGGCGGCCGUAACUAUAACGGUCCUAAGGUAGCGAAAUUCCUUGUCGGGUAAGUUCCGACCUGCACGAAUGGCGUAAUGAUGGCCAGGCUGUCUCCACCCGAGACUCAGUGAAAUUGAACUCGCUGUGAAGAUGCAGUGUACCCGCGGCAAGACGGAAAGACCCCGUGAACCUUUACUAUAGCUUGACACUGAACAUUGAGCCUUGAUGUGUAGGAUAGGUGGGAGGCUUUGAAGUGUGGACGCCAGUCUGCAUGGAGCCGACCUUGAAAUACCACCCUUUAAUGUUUGAUGUUCUAACGUUGACCCGUGAUCCGGGUUGCGGACAGUGUCUGGUGGGUAGUUUGACUGGGGCGGUCUCCUCCUAAAGAGUAACGGAGGAGCACGAAGGUUGGCUAAUCCUGGUCGGACAUCAGGAGGUUAGUGCAAUGGCAUAAGCCAGCUUGACUGCGAGCGUGACGGCGCGAGCAGGUGCGAAAGCAGGUCAUAGUGAUCCGGUGGUUCUGAAUGGAAGGGCCAUCGCUCAACGGAUAAAAGGUACUCCGGGGAUAACAGGCUGAUACCGCCCAAGAGUUCAUAUCGACGGCGGUGUUUGGCACCUCGAUGUCGGCUCAUCACAUCCUGGGGCUGAAGUAGGUCCCAAGGGUAUGGCUGUUCGCCAUUUAAAGUGGUACGCGAGCUGGGUUUAGAACGUCGUGAGACAGUUCGGUCCCUAUCUGCCGUGGGCGCUGGAGAACUGAGGGGGGCUGCUCCUAGUACGAGAGGACCGGAGUGGACGCAUCACUGGUGUUCGGGUUGUCAUGCCAAUGGCACUGCCCGGUAGCUAAAUGCGGAAGAGAUAAGUGCUGAAAGCAUCUAAGCACGAAACUUGCCCCGAGAUGAGUUCUCCCUGACCCUUUAAGGGUCCUGAAGGAACGUUGAAGACGACGACGUUGAUAGGCCGGGUGUGUAAGCGCAGCGAUGCGUUGAGCUAACCGGUACUAAUGAACCGUGAGGCUUAACCUUACAACGCCGAAGCUGUU